CAUUUGGUUUCAAAAUAAAAGUGUUAUUGGAGAUUAUGACAAAAUCGGACAGUAACUUGUAUCUUCUACAAGAUUUGAAUUUGUAAUACUCAGUCUAAGACAUGUAGUUUUUGGAGCACAUUUUACAGUGUACGGUUCAUCAGUUUGGAAUGAGAUGACCAAUCGGCAUUAGAAUUAUCAGAACCCUUCAAUAUCGUUGAAAAUAUGCCGAGGCGAUGUGGUCGACAGACUACCAGAGCCAAUCACCCUGCAAACACGCCAAAACAGUAUUGGAAAGUCUCAUUAUUUUUUGCGUAUGUUGAAAACAAAUGUACGAUCAACAGUUACUAGCAUUACUGCAUAUUCAUUGGCAUUUCAGUGUGAAUAUUGACAAUUAAAGUAAUAGAGAAGUUUGUUUCUGCCUAGACCCGAAGAGCAGAUUUUGGACAAUUUUGAGUAAAUUCUGUAUCACAAAUAUGUGUUGUUUAUGUAUUACUCUAUUCAGAAGAUUUAUU
rnacentral:lncRNA from 1 species